AACUGUUGACAACAAUGGACAAUGCCCAUGGACAGUACUCUCACAAGAAGCAUUGUACCUUAAAUUUUUUAUUCAUUUAUUAAAGCUAAAAUAAAAACAUAAUUUCUCACUAAGUUUCAUGAAUAUUUGUUUUGGGAUUAUUUUUUUCGUAAAUAAAAGUGCUUUUAAACUUCCGGCUGUUAUGUAAGCCAUUAUUGUAGUUAUCAUUUGUGAUUG